rnacentral:lncRNA from 1 species
GCUGGCAGCACACCCUCUGCUCUUUCACCUGCUCUCGUAACCGUGCCUGCUCCUCCUGGGCAUUGGCUCCAGCGGAGUUGAAAAAUGCAACCUGAGGGCAAGAGAUGUACUCCGCAGAUGUGAUUAAAUUCAGGAGCUCGACAUGAAGGGAUUAACCUGUCUUAUCUGGGUGCUGUGUAGAGUAUGAUCCGAGACACAGUCAUCCUUGUGCUAAGGUCAGCCUGUUUGCAGCAGCAAAACCCAGAUCUGUGGUGAUGUCAACUGCAUGAAUCCUGCCAUUGGGUAAUUUUAAAGACCUUGUGUAACUUCGAAGACCUUGCGUACUACUCCUAAUGUGAGGAUGAAGUUAUUCUGUUCCAACUCCAGUGCUAGAAUCAUAAUGUUGCUUCUUAUGGAAAGUACAAUUUAAGAACUGUGUCUUAGGUUAAAUAAACAGAAUCUAGGAUACCUUUAUAGACUAUCUAUGAUAGGUUACUGGGUGAGCUUUUAUUUUUUAACUGUCUGGAGAUGGGGUAGGGAACAGAAACAGAGAUAGGGAUGAUUGGCAGGGACCUUGGGGAAGAGACAGUGAUUUGGCAGCCUUGUAUGGAAACGUCCUCUUGUAUUAUGCCUCAGUUUUUGUUAUGCCUUAUGUAUUCCCAGAUUUCCAAAGGAGCUUAAAACUUCUCUAUACUCCUCUACAACCAUUUUUGAUGGUGAGAUUUUCUUUAGUAUCCAUUUCCAAGUGAAGUGCUUAUCACAAUUAACUAUCAAAUAAACUAUUUGGGCAGAGCUUUCUGCUUUCCUCAAGUUACCCCUAGGGAAUGGCCAGGGGAACUAACAGUAACCAAAUAUCUACUAUACUUCAGGGCCUUCAUAUGUAUUCUCAUUAAAAACACAUAAAACCUAUGAGGUAGGUUUUGCUAUCCCUGCUUCAUAAAUGAGAAAGCCUCAGCCUAGAAGUCACACACCUAGAAAGUGAUUGAUUUGGGGUUCAAACCAAAUUCUGUCAGUUUCUUAGUCACAGCUUCUUGUUGCAAGUAACAGAUAUGAGAAGAGGAGACAUCUUCACACAGAAGUAUUUGGUGGAAUUCUAGAGCAGAACCACCAGGAACUGCACCAUGAAUGGGAGAAGGAGAAGGAACUAAACCCACUAUUUCUUCCAAUGCUCGAGGUCGCGGGCCUCUCAUUUGUAUUUCUUUCUGUGUCCCAUCCCUGUAGCUACAUCACUUUAGUUUAAGGGACCAGCAGAAUCUGACCAGCAUUUAUGAACCCCAAAUUUCAAAUUUCCAGGAGGGAGAAUAUGAUUGGUUAGGUGAAGGCAGGAUCCCCAGGAUGCAGGGCCCUUUCUGUGGUUGAGUUAUAGAUCUCAUCCUCUGCCACCUCUUCAGGACUUUUGCUCUUUCAGUUACUCCCUCCCCCUGCUAUAUUUUUAAACCAUCCUUUCUUUUGGUUUGUUUAUAUCAGUAUUCAAACAUGGCCACAUCUCUUCUAAGCUUGAAAACAUAAAACAAAUAAAUAUAAUCUCUUUCUUGAAUCCACUUUACUUCUAACGACAGAUUAAUCUCUGUAUUAGUUUCCAAAGGCUGUCAUAUCAAAUUAGUACGAAUGUGAUGACUUAAAAAUAUGUCGAUGCCCAGUGCCAUCAGCAGUGGAUUGGCUAAAGAAAAUGUGGUACAUGUACACUGUGGGAUACUAUGAAGCCAUGAAGGACAAAAUCAUGUUCUUUGCAGCAACAUGGAUGCAGCUGGAAGCCAUUAUCCUAAGUGAAUGACUGCAGAA